UAGGAUCAAUGAUGUUCAAUGAAAACUGCGUUAUCUUUCUGUAAUUCCCGAUCCAGGGUUGAAGAUAGACUUAUCAUUCUGAGAUCCAUU